CAGCGCAGUGUAGCAAUACAUGGGCGGCGACCGGCAAACGGGUGCGGAACACGUACGCAACCUACCCAAAACUGAUGAAUAGCCCUCCGAAAGGAGGAUUAAUACAUCGUAACUUAAUGAGGUGGCAUCACUUUAUUAAUAUAGCUCCGGCGGUUUUGGAUGGGCGUGCGCCUGAUUAGGUAGUUGGCGGGGUAACGGCCCACCAAGCCUGCGAUCAGUAACUGGUGUGAGAGCACGACCAGUCACACGGGCACUGAGACACGGGCCCGACUCCUACGGGAGGCAGCAGUAAGGAAUAUUGGUCAAUGGACGCAAGUCUGAACCAGCCAUGCCGCGUGAAGGAUGAAGGUCCUCUGGAUUGUAAACUUCUUUUAUAUGGGACGAAACCUCUUAUUCUUAAGAGACUGACGGUACCAUAGGAAUAAGCACCGGCUAACUCCGUGCCAGCAGCCGCGGUAAUACGGAGGGUGCAAGCGUUAUCCGGAUUCACUGGGUUUAAAGGGUGCGUAGGAGGGCAGGUAAGUCAGUGGUGAAAUCUUCGAGCUUAACUCGGAAACUGCCGUUGAUACUAUCUGUCUUGAAUACCGUGGAGAUGAGCGGAAUAUGUCAUGUAGCGGUGAAAUGCUUAGAUAUGACAUAGAACACCAAUUGCGAAGGCAGCUCGUUACACGAAUAUUGACUCUGAGGCACGAAAGCGUGGGGAUCAAACAGGAUUAGAUACCCUGGUAGUCCACGCCCUAAACGAUGGAUACUCGACAUACGCGAUACACUGUGUGUGUCUGAGCGAAAGCAUUAAGUAUCCCACCUGGGAAGUACGACCGCAA
rnacentral:rRNA from 1 species